AUUUAAUGAUGAAUUUAAAAUACCUGAAUAUCAAUGUUGCUUUUCAUGAGCUUUUUAACACUGAAUUAUA